CCUACGGGUGGCAGCAGUGAGGAAUAUUGGUCAAUGGGAGAGAUCCUGAACCAGCCAAGCCGCGUGAGGGAAGACGGCCCUAUGGGUUGUAAACCUCUUUUGUCGGGGAGCAAAAGCCGGGACGCGUCCCGGACUGCGAGUAUCCGAAGAAAAAGCAUCGGCUAACUCCGUGCCAGCAGCCGCGGUAAUACGGAGGAUGCGAGCGUUAUCCGGAUUUAUUGGGUUUAAAGGGUGCGCAGGCGGACUGUUAAGUCAGCGGUAAAAUUGAGGGGCUCAACCUCGUCGAGCCGUUGAAACUGGUUGUCUUGAGUGGGUGAGAAGUACGCGGAAUGCGUGGUGUAGCGGUGAAAUGCAUAGAUAUCACGCAGAACUCCGAUUGCGAAGGCAGCGUACCGGCGCCCGACUGACGCUGAGGCACGAAAGCGUGGGGAUCGAACAGGAUUAGAUACCCUUGUAGUC
rnacentral:rRNA from 1 species